GGAGCGGGCCGGAUGGCCGCGCGCCGUCUUGCCUUAAGGGGCAGGCGGUGUGAGGAAAGUCCGGACUCCGCAGGGCAGGAUGCCAGCUAACGGCUGGGCGGGGCGACCCGACGGAAAGUGCCACAGAAAAGAAGACUCCCCCGCUUUGUCCCAUCGUUUCGAUGAGUGACCCAUCAAGCGGGAGAAAAGCUGAAACGGUGCGGUAAGAGCGCACCAGCGUCGCGGCAACGUGGCGGCUUGGCAAACCCCAUCCGGAGCAAGGGCGAAUAGGAGCGCUAUCGGCUGGCCCGGCCGGCGCUCGGGUUGCCUGCUCGAGGGCAGUGGCGACACUGCUCCCAGAUAAAUGGCCA
rnacentral:RNase_P_RNA from 1 species